AGGAAAGGAAGAUCCAUUGACGCCGGCGAGUGUAUCUUUCACUUUCUUUUAGUAACCAGUCGACAAAUCUAACCCUGAAAAAUAAAUCACUCUCCUUUCUCUGUUUCUCUUCUACAGUUACACAGAAUCGGGAAUUCGAUUUUUCCUUUUUUCUUUUUUAAUUUCAUUUCUGGCGGAAACGGUUUUGUGGUUAAUUUCAACAUUUUCCGAUCUUGCCCCUCGAGUUCCAUCAAAUCCAUCAUCUCUUACAAAAACGCUCUGUUUGACCCAACAUUUUCUUUUUUGAAGAUUACGAUUUUUGAGCUGUGAAGAUUUCAUUCGUAGAUUAUUAGGGUUCUCUCGAGAUCGAAGAAGAGAGAUUGCGAUGAAUAAUAAUAAUAAUAACACAGGAAGAUUUCCGCCGGGGAUUGGAGCGGCGGCUCCGGAUCCUAAUUUUCAGUCACGGAACCCGAAUCCGCAGCAGCCUCCGCCUCAGCAAUACCUUCAUUCACGGACUCCGUUUCCGCAGACCCAACAGUCUCGGCCUCCGAAUCCACAGCAACCUGAUGCUCACCACUACGUUCAACGAGCUUACCCACAAAACCCUCAGCAGAUUCAACAGCUCCAACAACAACAACAAUGGUCUACACACCCUCAGCUUCCUGCUAAUCCGAGUUAUGUAGAUGAAGUCGAGAAGACUGUUCAGUCUGAAGCUCACACCAACGAUUCUAAUAACCAAGACUGGAAGGCAAUGUUGAAGCUGCCACCUCGAGAUAAUCGUUACCAGACAGAGGACGUGACUGCCACUAAAGGAAAUGAAUUUGAAGAUUACUUUUUGAAGAGAGAUCUACUAAGGGGAAUAUAUGAAAAGGGUUUUGAGAAGCCAUCUCCUAUUCAGGAAGAAAGCAUUCCUAUUGCUUUGACUGGCAGUGAUAUUCUUGCUAGAGCCAAAAAUGGGACAGGAAAGACUGGUGCCUUCUGCAUCCCAACCCUUGAGAAAAUUGAUCCAGAGAACAAUGUCAUUCAAGCCGUAAUUCUAGUCCCUACCCGAGAGCUGGCCCUUCAGACAUCACAAGUUUGCAAGGAGCUUUCCAAAUACUUGAAAAUUGAGGUUAUGGUCACCACUGGCGGUACUAGUCUGAGGGAUGAUAUCAUGCGAUUGUACCAACCUGUUCAUCUGCUGGUAGGAACUCCUGGAAGAAUAUUAGAUCUUGCCAAAAAGGGUGUGUGUGUUUUGAAAGAUUGCACGAUGCUUGUCAUGGAUGAGGCCGACAAGCUUUUGUCUGCAGAAUUUCAACCUUCUAUAGAGGAGUUGAUACAAUUCUUGCCGCAAAACCGACAGAUUUUGAUGUUUUCAGCUACAUUUCCUGUCACUGUCAAGUCCUUUAAGGAUCGAUAUCUCAGGAAGCCUUACAUUAUCAAUCUCAUGGAUCAGCUCACACUAAUGGGUGUCACACAAUAUUAUGCUUUUGUUGAAGAGAGACAGAAGGUGCACUGCCUUAACACGCUUUUCUCUAAGCUGCAAAUAAACCAAUCCAUUAUCUUUUGCAACUCUGUCAAUCGUGUGGAGCUGUUAGCCAAGAAAAUCACAGAGCUCGGUUACUCAUGCUUCUAUAUUCAUGCAAAGAUGGUUCAAGACCACCGUAACAGGGUUUUCCAUGAUUUCCGCAACGGUGCAUGCAGAAACCUUGUUUGCACUGAUUUGUUUACACGUGGUAUUGACAUUCAAGCUGUGAAUGUGGUCAUUAAUUUCGAUUUCCCGAGGACUUCUGAGUCGUAUCUACACAGGGUAGGUAGAUCAGGAAGAUAUGGACACCUUGGGUUGGCUGUGAAUUUGGUAACUUAUGAGGACCGCUUCAAAAUGUACCAAACUGAGCAAGAACUUGGAACCGAGAUCAAGCCAAUUCCUUCACUUAUCGACAAGGCAAUCUACUGUCAGUGACUUCUACCAGGUGCACAUUCUCCACCCGGCUAAAGCACUGAUGGAUUUAAACAGUUUUUUUUGAGGAGGCAAAUCAUUCAGCUUUGGCAGUUACAAGCUUGUUCCAGAGAUGAAGGCAACACACAGAGCACUGUACUGAGGCAAGAAGAAUGCAGUAUGGGCGGUUGAUGGCGAUAAUAGCGGUUGGUUGUAUUUGAACCUUUCGACCAAGUCCGGUUUGUUUGGUUUGAUUUGAAGACUUCUUCUGCUGUAUGAUGUGAACUUUAAGUUAUAACUUUUCUUAUAUUUCAGUUUCAUGUUCUAAGAAACCUUUUGCCUUUGGAUGUGAACCUUUCGACCAAGUCCGGUGUGUUUUAUGACUUUUCUUGGUCUCUUUUGUUUUAAGACUUGGGAGAGAAUUUUACUAGAAUUGUAUCAUUGUUAACACAUUGUGUGUUAACUCAAGUACC